rnacentral:misc_RNA from 1 species
GAUGAAGAACGCAUCGAAAUGCGAUAAGUAAUGUGAAUUGCAGAAUUCAGUGAAUCAUCGAAUCUUUGAACGCACAUUGCGCCCCCUGGUAUUCCGAGGGGCAUGCCUGUUCGAGCGUCAUUAUAACCCUUCAAGCUCAGCUUGGUGUUGGGGCCUGCUGUAACUGGUAGCCCUUAAAAUCAGUGGCAGUGCUAUUAGGCUCUAAGCGUAGUAAUUCUUCUCGCUAUAGUGUGUAGUGAGCGCUUGCCAGAACCCCAAACUUUUAUAUGAUUGACCUCGGAUCAGGUAGGGAUACCCGCUGAACUUAAGCAUAUCAAUAAGCGGAGGA